UAACUAAUGGUUGGUCAUCACAGGAC
rnacentral:piRNA from 1 species